rnacentral:lncRNA from 1 species
GCAGACUGAGAACUCAUGUGCAGAAAUUAGAAUUUUCAGUUCCCUGGAACUGGAAUACCCAGAAUGAAGACGAAGGACUCUGUACGCAUUAUGAUGUCCACUGCCAACUACGAACUGCCACUGGCAACACAUUCCGUUCCAGUUGGGAAAAGGAUUCUACUUUCUAAGGUACAACAAAAGUCACUUGCUUGGACCAAGAUGACACAGUAGUAAUCAGGAGUAGAGAUGGGGAAAGAACCCAGGAUACUCGAUAGGUCAGCUGCUUUCACUGAUGGGACAAAGCCCACAUUGUUUCACCUGUUUCCUAGUGAGUAGAUGAGCCACAAGGAGGACACGUGAAAGAUUUCUUGAGUUUAGUACACGGUAUUGAGGCCUCAGAAAGUGUUGAUGUGAACUCCUCCAGGAAAUAUCAGAAUUCUGAAGGGAGCCCUGGAAUUUCCCUACCACCAUCCAGCCACUAAAUGUUCCCUCUGUGCUCCACUUGAGCAUACUCAAGAUCUUCAAGCAGCUCUCCCAAAAGAACAAUAUCAAGAAAAGUCCUGAAAAGGAGGAGGAAGAACCUGCCAACCCAGGCUCUGCCUCUAGUUCAUUUUGAGAACUGGGUAAGCCAUUUUCCCUCCAACACAAAGGGAUUGGAUUUGCAUCAACUUUGUAAAGAGGUAGAAUUAGGGUUCAUGAAGAAAACUUCCUGAAAUGUAAAGUAAUCAAAAGUAGAAUGGGCUGCCAGAAGAGGUUGCUGAUCUCUCUUCCUUGGAUAUCUUCAAUGAAUGAAUGAAUGAAUGGAAAACCAUUUGUUAAGUGCAAGUCACAUGCUAAGUGUUAGGAAACAAAGAGGAAAAACAGGUCCCUCCUCUAAGAGAUUUCAUUCUAAAAGGGAAGAUAAUACAUGAAGGAGGUGUCAGCAACAACCUGCAGUUAGAAGGCAGAUUGUAAUUUUAGUAUUAUAGCCAUUGGCAAAAAUAUAGCCAUUUCUGGUGUUGAAUUAUUUGACAAUAACAAGUAUUUUAGUAGUGAGAACUUUCUC